rnacentral:rRNA from 1 species
GAAAUCCCCUUCGGAGGGAGGCCAGUGGAAAUGCCUAGAUACGUGGGAGAAGGCGGAGGCGAAAGCUCCCCACUGGGCCGCGCUGACACUGAGAGACGAAAGCUAGGGGAGCGAAUGGGAUUAGAGACCCCAGUAGUCCUAGCCGUAAACGAUGGGCACUCGAUGCUGCGCGUGGGACGCGCAGUAUCCCAGCUAACGCGAUAAGUGCCCCGCCUGAGGAGUACGCUUGCAAGGGUGAAACUCAAAGGAAUUGACGGGGGCUCGCACAAGCGGUGGAGCAUGUGGUUUAAUUCGAUGCAACGCGAAGAACCUUACCUGGGCUUGACAUGGUGCCUGCGCGCUCCUAACGGGGUUCCGCACUACGGGCACACACAGGUGGUGCACGGCUGUCGUCAGCUCGUGUCGUGAGGUGUUGGGUUAAGUCCCGCAACGAGCGCAACCCCCAUCUGGAGCCGCUAGGCUGCAGAGACUGCCAAAUACCGAACUUCGGUUCGGAGCUGGAGGAAGGUGGGGAUGACGUCAAGUCAUCAUGCCCCUUAUGCCCUGGGCUACACACGUGCUACAAUGGUCGGGUCAAUGGUUGGCAGGAAACACGUCACCUGUGCCUUUCCGCGAGGGAAGGUUUCCCUAAACCCGGCCCCACUUCGGAUCGUGGGCUGCAACUCGCCCACGUGAAGCCGGAAUCGCUAGUAAUCGCCGGUCAGCAAUACGGCGGUGAAUACGUUCCCGAGCCUUGUACACACCGCCCGUCACGCCACGGGAGUUGGCCUUUCCCGAAGCUUUCGUUGAGAAGGUGAAGGAAGGGCUGGUAACUGGGGUGAAGUCGUAACAAGGUAGCCGUAA